rnacentral:miRNA from 1 species
AAUUACCAAAUGGUUUUCCAAGCAGGAUAACGUGAUCCCUUCACUUGGGAUGUUGCUCUACUUACGGAAGGCGUAAUACACUCGCCUUCGGCUCGAGUAUUUUUACGCUUUUCGAAAGUCUCGCGACAUCCCUCGUGCAUGGAUCACGUAAUCCUGCACGGAAAACCAUUCGGUAUUC